CACGCUGUAAACGAUGAGCACUAGGUGUCGGGGUCGCAAGGCUUCGGUGCCGUAGUUAACGCAUUAAGUGCUCCGCCUGGGGAGUACGUACGCAAGUAUGAAACUCAAAGGAAUUGACGGGGACCCGCACAAGCAGCGGAGCAUGUGGUUUAAUUCGAAGCAACGCGAAGAACCUUACCAGAGCUUGACAUCCCUCUGACCGGUCGGUAAUGCGACCUUCCCUUCGGGGCAGAGGUGACAGGUGG
rnacentral:rRNA from 1 species